CCAGGGUUGCUGUUCCCUGGGUAUUUCCCUGGGGUUGCUGUUCCCCAAGAUAAUAAGGUUUUCUGUCUUCUCUUUGCCCUGAGCGUUUCACACCGAAGGCAGAGACGACACUGUGGGUCCAGCAGCUGAAGUUAUCAAGGAGGGAAGCGGAAAUCGUGACACUGCGGAAACGUGAAAAAAAAGUUUCAGCAUCCCCAGCUGUGGGGGACGGCCCCAGCGCUCGCCCCAGCCCCGGGACAAUGGAGCUGGGCCGCCACCUCCGCCUGUCCUGUGCUGCUGGAGCGACACCAGGGAGCCGGGGGGCUUCUGUCCCCGCCACUCUGAACACACCAAGCACAGAACCACCGGGCGCCUGGGGCUCCAAGGGGCCGCUGCAGGUAACCCAGGCCAAACCCCGCUCAAGGCUGAAAUUUCAGGAUUCAAAUGCCUCGGCGAAUGCUUUAACAUGCAAUUCACAUGGCCCAACAAAAUCUUUCCGAAGCAUGGUUACUGGAUCAUUACAUUUUUACUUUUCUUUAAAAUGUACAUUACUUUAAUGUACUUUUUUACACUUAGUAAAUAAAUAAGAUUAAUGCGCUUAAGCUCGUUUUUAUUUUCUUUUUUAUUAGAGAAAGACGACAACCAUGAAAAUAAUUUUCGUACAGGUAAAAACACAAUUAAGUUUAGAAAAACAUGACAAUUCUCUCUGAAGCUUUAACUGGUGAAAUUGCAACGCUGAAACUGCAUUUGGGAAAGUAUGAAAACUUAUGAAUGGUACUUGCAGAAACAUCAGUGCACAGGAAAUUCAAAAUCGAGUAUGUGAAAAUACUUUACUGUCUUUAAAAGACAGUGGGGAAACGGGAUGGAGAACUCAUUCUUUCACUAACACAUCAAUCUUAACUGGCAGCACUCCUUUCUCUUGCUUUCUCAAGGCUAAUCUUCUCCGAAAGAAGAAAUAUGUCAACAAGGCAGAGAGCAAGCAAUAUAAGACUCAACACCUAUAAAAAUUAUCAUAAAAUUAGUUCCCCCAAUAAAUCUUGAGCUUUUACUGUAGUGACUCAUCAAGGUAGCAGUAAAUACAUCUUCCUAACUUUGUUCUGGGCUUGAAAACGUGUGUGAUUUGAGACAGCUGAUAAAUCAAAUAACACCCAUAUUUACAUCCCAUCAGCCUUUCAGAGAGCCUGCUCUGUUUGAUGUUUGUGUCAGGCCUUGGAGAUAGUGUGGUGCUCUCCUUGAAAGCUAAGCUAAUGCUGCAUUAUGCCAGACAAUGCUUUUAUCCUUAAUGAAAUCCCCUCUGUCCCUUUAAGGAUUGCUUAUUAAUGGGACUGGCCCUGAAAAAAGUCAAGGGGAAAAGUCAGUAUUUGUGGAAACAAGCCCAGCAGGAAAAUGCUCUUCUCCUCUGAAAGGGAAACAUUCUCCAAACUGAAUAAAAUGCACUAAACUACUCAGAAAAUAGACAACCUCAGGCAGGUAACUGGAAAAAUGUGUUUGCAGAAGAGCCACUGAGUUAACUCACUCAGUUCCUGCCCUUCAGCCCCACCCCACAUGCACACAGGGUUUUUUUCUGAAAGCACUGAAUUAUCUGAUCAGGGGAGUUAUUUUCAGGAGAGCUCUUGGGAGAGGACAGCUCAAGGCAGUUUGUGCCUCAGGAGAACUGGCUGGGGGUGAUUCUGUCCCUCCCAGCACUGGAGAUGUCCCAUGUUCCACCCAAACUUGUGUUCCCAG